CGUGAUCUGCUGCUAGAUCGAGU
rnacentral:snRNA from 1 species